AUGGCUCCCACCCAACACCCAUUGCCCCAACCCAACACCUACUGCCCUCGACCCAACACCCAUUGCCCUCGACCCAACACACACACACACACCUACUGCCCUCGACCCAACACCCAUUGCCCUCAACCCAACACACACACACACACACCUAUUGCCCUCGACCCAACACCUACUGCCCUCGACCCAACACCCAUUGCCCUCGACCCAACACACACACACACACCUACUUCCCCCAACCCAACACCCAUUGCCCUCAACCCAACACACACACACACACACCUAUUGCCCUCGACCCAACACACACACACACACCUAUUGCCCUCGACCCAACACACACACACACACACCUAUUGCCCUCGACCCAACACACACACACACACCCAUUGCCCUCGACCCAACACACACACACACACCUAUUUCCCCCAACUCAACCCCUAUGGCUCCCACCCAACACCCAUUGCCCUCGACCCAACACACACACACACACCUAUUGCCCUCGACCCAACACACACACACACACCCAUUGCCCUCGACCCAACACACACACACACACCUAUUUCCCCCAACUCAACCCCUAUGGCUCCCACCCAACACCCAUUGCCCCAACCCAACACCUACUGCCCUCGACCCAACACCUACUGCCCUCGACCCAACACCUACUGCCCUCGACCCAACACCCAUUGCCCUCGACCCAACACACACACACACACCUACUGCCCUCGACCCAACACCUACUGCCCUCGACCCAACACCUACUGCCCUCGACCCAACACCUACUGCCCUCAACCCAACACCUACUGCCCUCAACCCAACACCUACUGCCCUCAACCCAACACCUACUGCCCUCCACCCAACACCAAUGGCUCCCACCCAACACCCAUUGCCCUCGACCCAACACACACACACACACCUACUUCCUCAACCCAACACCCAUUGCCCUCUAUUGCCCUCCACCCAACACCCAUCCUUCCAUAUCUACCCAACACACACACACACACCUAUUGCCCUCGACCCAACACACCCAUUGCCCCAACCCAACACCUAUUUCCCCCAACUCAACCCAGCCCCUAUUGCCCUCGACCCAACACCUAUUGCUCCCAACUCAACCCAACACCUAUUGCCCUCCACCCAGCCCCUAUUGCCCUCGACCCAACACCUAUUUCCCCCAACACACACACACACACAUAUUGCCCUCAACCCAACACACUAUUGCCCUCAACCCAACACCUAUUGCCCUCAACCCAACACCUACUGCCCUCCACCCAACACCUAUUGCCCUCCACCCAACACCUAUUGCCCUCAACCCAGCCCCUACUGCCCUCAACCCAACACCUAUUGCCCUCCACCCAACACCCAUUGCCCCUGCACAACACCUACUGCCCUCAACCCAACACAUACUGCCCUCAACCCAACACCUAUUGCCCUCCACCCAACACCUACUGCCCUCAACCCAACACCUACUGCCCUCAACCCAACACCUAUUGCCCUCCACCCAACACCUACUGCCCUCCACCCAACAGCCAUCCACCCUUCCAUAUCUAG
rnacentral:lncRNA from 1 species